rnacentral:rRNA from 1 species
AGAGUUUGAUCCUGGCUCAGAUUGAACGCUGGCGGAAUGCUUUACACAUGCAAGUCGAACGGCAGCACGGAGAGCUUGCUCUCUGGUGGCGAGUGGCGAACGGGUGAGUAAUAUAUCGGAACGUGUCCAAUAAUGGGGGAUAACGAGUCGAAAGAUUCGCUAAUACCGCAUACGCCCUACGGGGGAAAGCAGGGGAUCGUAAGACCUUGCGUUAAUGGAGCGGCCGAUAUCUGAUUAGCUUGUUGGUGAGGUAAAGGCUCACCAAGGCGACGAUCAGUAGCUGGUUUGAGAGAACGACCAGCCACACUGGAACUGAGACACGGUCCAGACUCCUACGGGAGGCAGCAGUGGGGAAUUUUGGACAAUGGGGGCAACCCUGAUCCAGCCAUUCCGCGUGAGUGAAGAAGGCCUUCGGGUUGUAAAGCUCUUUCGCAAGGGAAGAAAACUUAUGAUCGAAUAAAUCAUGAGGUUGACGGUACCUUGAUAAGAAGCACCGGCUAACUACGUGCCAGCAGCCGCGGUAAUACGUAGGGUGCGAGCGUUAAUCGGAAUUACUGGGCGUAAAGCGUGCGCAGGCGGUUUUGUAAGUCGGAUGUGAAAUCCCCGGGCUCAACCUGGGAACUGCGUUCGAAACUGCAAGGCUAGAGUGUGUCAGAGGGGGGUAGAAUUCCACGUGUAGCAGUGAAAUGCGUAGAGAUGUGGAGGAAUACCAAUGGCGAAGGCAGCCCCCUGGGAUAACACUGACGCUCAUGCACGAAAGCGUGGGGAGCAAACAGGAUUAGAUACCCUGGUAGUCCACGCCCUAAACGAUGUCAACUAGUUGUUGGUAGAGUAAAAUCUAUGAGUAACGUAGCUAACGCGUGAAGUUGACCGCCUGGGGAGUACGGUCGCAAGAUUAAACUCAAAGGAAUUGACGGGG